rnacentral:rRNA from 1 species
CCCGUUCCCAUCCCGAACACGGAAGCCAAGCUCCCCUGCGCCGAUGAUACUGCCAUCCGGCGGGAAAGCAGGUAGCGGCCGGCU